rnacentral:rRNA from 1 species
AGUGAACGCUGGCGGCGUGCUUAACACACGCAAGUCGAACGAGAACGGGUUAUAGCUUGCUAUAAUUGUCAGCUAAGUGGCGCACGGGUGAGUAAUGUAUAGGUAAUAUGCCUCUUACUAAGGGAUAACAAAUGGAAACGUUUGCUAAUACCUUAUACUCCUUAUUAACAGAAGUUAAUAAGGGAAAGAUUUAUUGGUAAGAGAUUAGCCUGUAUUGUAUCAGUUAGUUGGUGAGGUAAUGGCUUACCAAGACUAUGACACAUAACUGGUUUGAGAGGAUGAUCAGUCACACUGGAACUGAGACACGGUCCAGACUCCUACGGGAGGCAGCAGUGGGGAAUAUUGCACAAUGGACGAAAGUCUGAUGCAGCAACGCCGCGUGGAGGAUGACACAUUUCGGUGCGUAAACUCCUUUUAUAUGAGAAGAUAAUGACGGUAUUAUAUGAAUAAGCACCGGCUAACUCCGUGCCAGCAGCCGCCGUAACAC